UUUAUUAACUUGCUACCUCUUUUGCUGGAGCAUCCGUGGAAACCGUUAACUAGUCGUCAGUCAUUUUCUUUCGCGACUCCAAUCCGGUAAUCUAAAAAUCCAGCAAAAUGCAGUCCCUCCUCAAAGUCGCGUUGUGUCUUCUUCUUGCUGUAACUCUGGUUUUUGCCCAAACGGCGCCCGCAGCUCUUGACGGAGGUAACACAGAGGGAAUAGAAAAAGGUGGAGUAAGUAUUAAGGUCUGCGCCAAAUGUAUCGAUGAAUGUCAGGCCGUCGGUAACCCAUUGGAAUACUGUGAAAUCCAGCGGUGUGCAAGUUUUUGCCGAGCAACAUAAAAUUAUGGUUUCUUAUCCGGGCUUAUCCUGCAGUGCCUAGACGGCGAGUCAACGUUGAUUAACUACCGUUGAUUAAUCACCGUCGUUGACCCUCUCGACACUCAACUGAAAAAUCAGUCAUCACCAACUCGAUCAAACUAAUUGAUCAUCCUCACCAAGUAAUAAUUCUGUAAAUCAAGUAAUCAAGAUCUCGCGACUCUCAAAAAGGCUGGCACCAAACUCCGCUUUGAUAUUUCGAUCUACCACGUCUACUUCAACAAUGCCAUGUUAAAAAGAUCGAAACUCAAAUAAUAAAUAAAUUUGACCCGAA